AUGCUAUCCAAAAGUGGUUUCACAUGGGAUGCAAGUCGAAAGAUGAUUCAGUGCGAGAAGGCACAAUAUGAAGCUCAUUGUCAGAUUCACAAGGAGGCUAAGGGAUUGUAUGGUGUAUCAUUUCCAUACUUUGAUCAAUUGGUUGCUAUCUAUGGCAAAGACAUUGCAACAGGAGAAAGUGAUGAAGGAUUUGGAGAGGGAGUGGGAAACUUGGAGAAGGAAAUUGCUAUGGAGGAAGAAGAAAAUGAGGAAGAGGAUAUGAUCUCAACAGGAACAUCUCAACGGUCCAUUGACACUUUCUCUAUUGAUACAACUAGUUUGAAUAGGCAGAAAAAGGAGCCAAGGCCAAAGAGGGCGACGGGACCAAGCGAUCCAUUGCAACCAUGCUUCAAGAUGUCAAUAGCCAGCUGA
rnacentral:rRNA from 1 species